GGAUUAGAUACCCUGGUAGUCCACGCCGUAAACGAUGUCUACUAGCCGUUGGGGUCCUUGAGGCCUUAGUGGCGCAGCUAACGCAUUAAGUAGACCGCCUGGGGAGUACGGUCGCAAGAUUAAAACUCAAAUGAAUUGACGGGGGCCCGCACAAGCGGUGGAGCAUGUGGUUUAAUUCGAAGCAACGCGAAGAACCUUACCAAGACUUGACAUCCUUGAAACUUUCUAGAGAUAGAUUGGUGCCUUCGGGAAUCAAGUGACAGGUGCUGCAUGGCUGUCGUCAGCUCGUGCCG
rnacentral:rRNA from 1 species